GAAGGGCUGCUGGAGCGCGGCCAGAGCGGACGCCGAGGCCGAGGAGGCGCCGAGAGCGAGUGAGAGCUGCUAGCAGGUUGUCACCUCUCAUAAGGAGGUCCACAUUUGCUGAAAUGUAACUCUUACCUCACGCACUGGGAGUGAUGAACUUCACUAGGAAAUCAUCGUUCUUUCUGGAAUUAGACGAUAUAAGCUGCAGCUCAGAAUCAGAGCACGUCAAGUUGCUUCUUUUCAGUGAUCAUAACCAAUUAUCCAGGAAAAGGGACCGAAGAAAUCAAGAAAAAGGAGAAUAGACUCUUUAUGCAUAGGAGCUUUAAUAUAUAGUUGACACUUGAACAACAUGGAUCUGAACUACACAAGUCCACUUGUUGGUGGAUUUUCUUCAGCCUCUGCCACCCUUGAGACAACAAGACCAAUACCUCCUCUUUUUCCUUCUCCUCAGCCUACUCAACCUGAAGAUGGUGAGAAUGAAGACCUUUAUGAUCAUCCACUUCUACUUGUUGAAUAGUAAAUAUAUUUUUUCCUUAUGGUUUUCUUAAUAACACUUUCCUUUCUCUUGAUUACUUUAUUGCCAGAAUACAGUACAUAGUACAUAUAAUAAGCAAAGUAUGUAUUAGUUUACUGUUUAAGUGAUAGGUAAGGCUUCCACUCAACAGCAGGCAACAGCCAGGUGUUGUGACACAUGCCUGUAAUCCUAGCAUUUUGGGAGGCCAAGGUGGAGGAUCGCUUGAGCCCAGGAGUUCAAGGCCAGCCUAAGUAACAUAGUGAGACCCCCAUCUCCACAAAAAAUUAAAAUACCUAAUCAUGGUGGUGCAUGCCUGCAAUCCCAGCUACUCAGGAACCUACAAUAGGAGCCAAAAAGGUGGAGGUUACAAUGAGCCAUUAUUGCAGUACUGCACUGCACUCCUGCCUGGGAGACAGAGUGAGACCUUGUCUCAAAAAACAACAACAAACAACAACAACAGCAACAAAAAUCAGUAGGUAUUAAUAGUUAGGUUUUUUGGGAGUCAGAAGUUAUACACAGAUUUUGACUGUGCAGGGGAUCAGCGCUCCUAACUCCUGCAUUCUUCAAGGGUUACCUGUAUUCUUGAUACAAGUUCUCCUUCAGAUUUAAGUAUUAUAGAUAUUUUUCCAGUCUAUAGCUUACCUAUUCAUUUUCUUAAUAAUGUCUUUUGAUUGAUUUUUAAUUUUUAACUUUGGUGAAUUCCAGUUGUAUACUUUUUUUAUGAUUAGCAUUUUUGUGUCCUAUGAAACUGUUGCCUUCCUCAAUGUGACUAAAUUCUGUUAGGUUUCUCUUCUAGCAAGUUUAUGUUUCAAAUUUUCACCCUUAGGUCUAUAAUUCAUCCCAAAUUUAUUUUUGUCUGUAAAGCAAUGUCACGAUUCAUUUUUUUUCUCAAUAUAGUUACCCAGUUGUUUCAAAACUGGUUAUUAAAGUUUUUCUCUUGAUCAUUGAAUUUUCUUGGCACCAAAUUAUUAACUCUUGACAAAAAUAAUUGACCCUUAAGUAAGCAGACGGACAAGCAGUGCUUCUAUUUUAUAGCAAUGUAAAUAAUACACAACUUACACAAAGACUUUUUAGAAGCUAACUAACAGUGGUCAUAUCUAAGUACGUACACCAGAUUUUUUAUAACCACUUUUAAAAUAAAAGUAUUUAGAUUUUAACACAUAGAUUAGGACAGAGAAAGCAUAUGGUGGAAUAAACUGUAUCUUUUUGGCCAGAUGGUGCUAUUUCUAGGUCAUCUUGAUAAAGAGAGGAGGCAAACAUGAAAACUUAAUGAAAAACUACUUAUGAUGCUGGAGAACAUCUUGGCUUUGAGUCACUUUUAAAUCAUAGAAGAGGAUUAUUCCAUAAAAUUAUUUAUAAUGCCUAAAAUUAUUCUUUGCCCAAAUCAUAAAUUUUCAGCAUUACCAAGAACCCAGUUAGUAUGUAUACAGUGUUUCAGCAAGUGCAGAGAUGCCCAGGUGGUUGGGAUUCAAUACAUCGAGCUGUCACGCUGCACAUUCUUGGAGUACAACCUUAAUGGGCAUUUUCCCACCUGUGCAAUUCCUCUGUUUUCACCCCACUCCAUUCAUAUUUCACAAACUACUCUAAUUAUAGUAUUUAUUAUUGACCUCAGGCAAAAGAAGUUUGAAAGGGUGGAAAAAACAUAUGCAUUUUGUCUCCAUGGAUAGUAAAUCACUGAGCUAUUAUUCCUUGGGAAUCCCAAUUCAUGAGAAAUUACAUAGACAGACUUUUGCCCUAACACUAAUCAGCUGCCUGACCUGUAAAUAUUUCAGCUCCUUGCCUGUAUCUAUUUCUCCUUGCAGAAAACUGUAAUUUAUCUAGAUUUUUCUAAUAAUUCACUGACAUUUUACUGCUGGCCAAUGAGUAAAUCAUUGUUGCUUUUGGUAUCUUAUGAUUUUGUUCUUUUGUGUCAAAGUUUAGCUAGUUUCAUCUAUCAGGUUGGAAUAAAAAAUGCAAAUUAUGACUAUACCACUUAUAUAGUUACAUGAUCUACUGACCAAAGUUAAUCAUCACUUUAAUCUUGGUAACUCUUUCAGAGCCCUAAUUGUAAUAGCCUUUGCCUGAGUUACCUAGAGAGUGGUCUCAAUAAUCCCCUUUUAUUUUUCAGGUAGAGAAAAGGGCACACAAAAUGAUAUUAUCUCGAUCACCCAGCACAUGUAUUAAACUAUAACAGACUUUUUAAAUCAUGUGUGAUCUUUUAUUUUUUGACUGAAAGGGACUAAGUUUGCUGCCCAGAGAAGUCUUUAGGGAGCAAGGAAAGGUAAGCAAAUAAACUUAUCUGGAGUCAAAGGUCUCAAGGAAAAUCUUGCUUUCUAUAAAAGGCAGACAACGUCAAGGCUCAUAGAUUUUCCCAGGGCUAAAAAUCAGAGCCAGUUGCCUCCCAUCUUGAAAAGACUUAUUCAUCAUGCUGGUUGAAGUAUCACAGAUCUUGUCAAAAUAUUCGUGACUCACAUAUGACCCAUCCAAAAGACAAAAGUCAACAAAAUAUUUUACCAAAUUCUAAAAUAGUGUUUGUUUUAUUAUUCUUUGUUAUUCUUCAACAAUUAUUGUUACCUUUAUUAUAUGAAAUAUAAUAGCAAUUCCUUGUCUUCAUGGUCUUUCUGUUACAGACAUGUUUUACACUAAUUAUACCACUUUAGUGAAAUUCAUCAUACAUAUUCCUGAUCUAAAUUCCUUUUUUAUUAACCAUAUAUGAGAGAAAGUGGAUAUUAAAAUAAUUUUGGUGGUAAAAUAAGCGAAAAAAUAAAACAAGCAUGGUUAAAAUGAUUAAAUUAUGGAAAAGUGACCCAUGUGUUUCAGAUAAACUGAUGCUUGAGGGUUUUUGUUGUUAUUGUUGUUUAAAUUUUAUUUUAUUUUAAUUUUAAGUUCCAGGAUACAAGUGCAGGAUGUGCAGGUUUCUUACAUAGGUAAAGAUGUGCCAAAAUGGUGGUUUGCUGCACCUAUCAACCUAUCACCUAGGUAUUAAGCCCUACAUGCAUUAGCUCCCUCCCACUGCCCCUGCAACAGACCCCAGUGUUUGUUGUUCCCUCCCUGUGUCCAUGUGUUCUCAUUGUUCAGCUCCCACUUGUAAAUAAGAACCUACAGUGUUUGGUUUUCUGUUCCUGUUUUAGUUUGUUGAGGAUAAUGACUUCCAUGAAGCUUGAGUUUUUAUUCUACGAUUUACUGAAUGACAUUUGAGCAGCUAGCUGACUUUUUAAUGCCUUGAUUUUAAUAAUUCAAUGAGUUAUUGGGUGAGAUAAUUUAGAACAGCAUACAUGAUAUCGUUAUUAUUAGUCAAUAAAAUACUAUUUAUCUUAUUUAUUACUAAUAACAAAAAUAUGUGUAUGACCCUUCGCUAUGUUUGAAUAUGUGAUAUAUUGAAUUGAAUUCACUGUGAGGCUUCAGUAGGUACCUAUAAUAUUCAAAUAUGUUAGCUGAAAGCUGUGAAAAAUAUAUUUUUAAAAAUUAG
rnacentral:lncRNA from 1 species